AAAACCCUAACUCUCUCCAUUGAUUUGAUCAAUACAGCCCUAACCAAGAAGAAGAUCUGAACUAUCAUAUCGGUGCAAAUAUAUUCGUAACGGUCAAAGAAGACAGUUUCUGUGUUGGCAUAAGAAGAUACUGAAAACCAGAGAAUGGAGAAAACCUCGUACCCACCAAGAAGGGGAUUUGCCUCCGUCCUCUCGAAUACUUAAAUCUAAUAUCACAUCUGAGUAACAUUGAAAAAGCCGUUUCCGAACUGGAAAACACUAAACCCUGUUUUUUACAGGAAGAUCAUCAAAACCAACUAGGGAUGAUUGAAUCUACUAAAACGUUGAAAGUGAAUGGAACUGACACAGUUAUCAGAACAAUUAGUAUAGAAGACUAAAAAUGGAAGAAAAAAAAUCGAUGUCACACUGUGGCGGGAAAUGGCGGAGGAAGACUUGAAAAUUGGGCAAUAUUUGUCAAUUUCACACUGCAUGCCUAAUGAAUGGAAACUACACAGAAGUCCUAACACAACACGUAAUUCAAAGAUUCAGCCCUCAAAAGGAUGGCACGUAAGAAGAGAGCAAACUCAAUCAGUAGGACAACUAAAAAUAAGAAGAUAACCGAGAAGACAGUCAGUCCUACAUAUGACGUGGACGAUGAUCACAAAUACACAGAUCCUCCAAUGGCCCAGUCUAUCACAGCUGCAGUAUCUCAAAGUGUUUUGGGAGAACUCAAAAGAUCCGGAAUACACAGCCAACAUGUUCAAAACAAAACACAUCCAGGAUAUUUAAAGCAGCCUUCGAAGUCACCAGCGACAGCAGAUGACAUGAGAUUACUAGAAGCUGUUCAAGAAUUUGAAGUGGAGUCUGAACUGUACUCGGUCCGAAUCAAGGACCCGUACCAUGGCCAAACUGUAACCGCUAAACAGAGGCCACAGUUCAACAGCUCCUGCAUAUUUGUAGGAGCGAUCUUAGGAGGGGAGGGAAGUCAGUUACCAGGUUUUCAUUGGUUCUUGGAGCCUUCCAUCACAUCAGGCACACAAUCCUCGAAAACCAUGAUGCAAUGGAGAAAACGGAUAUACAGUUCCCACUUUUGAACAAAAAGACGCUUACCUAGUGGUUUAAUUACAAAAGUAAACAGCAGGACAAGAAGGUUUUAACUCGAGGUUUAGAGCUUCCGAAUUCUUCACAGACAACGAGAAAGACUCCUGCCGCUCUGUCCAAACCUUCAGUGCUUCCGACCAGGGACACUCAGCCAUAAGCUUUUCAUAAUCCUCCAUCUUCUGUUGGCUGGCCAAGGUUAAGGACAGGAGGAUAUUUGCCGUCCCCCAAUCCAGCUGUCUCAUUCCAACUUGUUACGGGUCCAGGGAACACAGCAGUACUCAUACCAUCCAGUGUACC
rnacentral:sRNA from 1 species